GGCCUAACACAUGCAAGUCGAACGCAGUAGCAAUACUGAGUGGCGCACGGGUGAGUAAUACAUGGGAACGUCCCUUUUAGUACGGAAUAACCACGGGAAACUGUGGCUAAUACCGUAUACGCCCUUCGGGGGAAAGAUUUAUCGCUAAAAGAUCGGCCCAUGCCAGAUUAGCUAGUUGGUGAGGUAAUGGCUCACCAAGGCUACGAUCUGUAGCUGGUUUGAGAGGAUGAUCAGCCACACUGGAACUGAGACACGGUCCAGACUCCUACGGGAGGCAGCAGUGGGGAAUAUUGGACAAUGGGGGAAACCCUGAUCCAGCCAUGCCGCGUGAGUUUAAGGCCUUAGGGUUGUAAAGCUC
rnacentral:rRNA from 1 species